AUUAUAGCCCUGCGAAGUUGGCAAAUUUGUAUACAUUUCUAUUACGUGUGGAAAUUGGUAACUAAUUUAGUUAUCAAUUCACGCACGUAAUACAAAAGUAUACAAAUUUGCCAACUUUGAAGGGCUAUAUU
rnacentral:miRNA from 1 species